CCGACGAUAGCUCAGUUGGUAGAGCGGAGGACUGUAGUGCGUGCACUUGUGCAGUGAUCCUUAGGUCGGUGGUUCGAAUCCGCCUCGUCGGA
rfam:Echinostoma caproni strain Egypt genome assembly, scaffold: ECPE_scaffold0001610